AGAACCUUCUUGCUGUGUCAUCCUGGGGGGGAAGGGCAAAGAAAAGAUGAGAGAAAGAGGAAGAAGAGUCAAACUCAUCCUGUUAUAAGGUCCCACCUCCUAACACUGUUGCAUUGGGGAUCAACUUUCCAAAACAUGACCUUUGGGGGACAUAUUCAAACCAUAGCAGCACUUCUUUGCUUUCUGGCACUGCCAGCACUCCAAGAUCAUCUUGAAUAUUUCCUGUCCCAGUCUAAAAUCAGCCAUUUUUCCAAAGGACCUUGGUUUCUUUUGUUGCAGAAUGGUGUUAGAGACCAAUAUCUGGUGCUGGGUGUGCAAAGGAUUCUCUUUUCAUUAUGGAUAGUAUUUCCCAUCAGCCUCCCAGCAGACUACUCAUUUUGUUUUUGCAGCAAUGUCUGCUAACUGUGCCCCCAAGUUUAUUCUCCUCUUCCCAUUGUAAUCAAAUUUUAUCUGAGCAUAUAGGACUCCUAUAAUAAAGAGUUCAUUCCC